GAUGAACGCUGGCGGCGUGCCUAAUACAUGCAAGUCGAGCGAACAGAUGAGGAGCUUGCUCCUCUGACGUUAGCGGCGGACGGGUGAGUAACACGUGGAUAACCUACCUAUAAGACUGGGAUAACUUCGGGAAACCGGAGCUAAUACCGGAUAAUAUAUUGAACCGCAUGGUUCAAUAGUGAAAGACGGUUUUGCUGUCACUUAUAGAUGGAUCCGCGCCGCAUUAGCUAGUUGGUAAGGUAACGGCUUACCAAGGCAACGAUGCGUAUCCGACCUGAGAGGGUGAUCGGCCACACUGGAACUGAGACACGGUCCAGACUCCUACGGGAGGCAGCAGUAGGGAAUCUUACGAAAUGGGCGAAAGCCUGACGGAGCAACGCCGCGUGAGUGAUGAAGGUCUUCGGAUCGUAAAACUCUGUUAUUAGGGAAGAACAAAUGUGUAAGUAACUAUGCACGUCUUGACGGUACCUAAUCAGAAAGCCACGGCUAACUACGUG
rnacentral:rRNA from 1 species